AAGCUUAAAACUCAAAGGACUUGGCGGUGCCUUACACCACCUAGAGGAGCCUGUUCUAUAAUCGAUAACCCCCGAUAAACCUCACCAGCUCUGYUAAUUCAGUCUAUAUACCGCCGUYUUCAGAAACCCUAAAAAGGAACCACAGUAAGCACAAAUACAUAACAUAAAAACGUCMGGUCMAGGUGUAACCUAUGAGCUGGAAAGAAAUGGGCUACAU
rnacentral:rRNA from 1 species